rnacentral:rRNA from 1 species
UACGGAGGGUGCAAGCGUUAAUCGGAAUUACUGGGCGUAAAGCGUGCGUAGGCGGCUUGUUCAGUCAGAUGUGAAAGCCCUGGGCUUAACCUGGGAACUGCAUUUGAUACUGGCAGGCUAGAGUUUAGUAGAGGGGAGUGGAAUUUCAGGUGUAGCGGUGAAAUGCGUAGAGAUCUGAAGGAACACCAGUGGCGAAGGCGACUCCCUGGACUAAAACUGACGCUGAGGUACGAAAGCGUGGGUAGCAAACAGG